UGUUGACAACAAUUGUUUUCUUUUAUUGGUUCUACAACAGUUGGCUUUCUACCCCUCUUUACAGACAAGGAAAGGUUCCCUGUAUAGUUUGUGUGGGAUCUCCAACUCAGACCUCAGCCAUCCAAAGCAUCUUCAACCACAGCCUCCAAAGGAACGAGAUCCAAAAAUGUGAUAAUGUACUAUCAGUGUUAAUGGAGAAUCAAGUUUUGAGGAGAUACAUCGAUGUGGACAACAACUGGGCCCUCUUUAUAAAUAAUAAGCGCUGUCUGGAUACUGAAUUCUCCCAUAUGCUAAAAGUUAUGGAGUACGGCCUGCCAGUUACAGACGAAGUAUUGCAAUAUAUUGAUAGAUUUGUUGUUCCAUAUGCUAAAAUCUGCGACCCACUAGAGUAUGUUGGCUGGACUCGCCUCUUUGUAUCACACCAAGAAGUUAAAACAUUUUUAAGCAGCCUGCAUCUGGCCCUGACUGCAAAAUCCCACAGACUACCUAAUGAGGUCAAGUUGUUUACCUGUCCAAUUGUCUGUGAGGUCUAUAAUCAGACUUUCCAAAAAUAUAAAGAAAAAGUUAAUCUUACAGAAAUUACCAUAAUGGACUGGUUGAAGAAAAAUAUGUUCAAGGCCAGUAACUACUCUCAGUUUGUAGACCAGGAUAUGACCAUCAUAAACACAGACAUUACUGAGGACUGUACAAGAAUAACUUAUCAGGCAAAAUAUGUCAAAAAUAGUUUUAUCAGUCUAAAUGGUAAAACCAAAAGGUGCAUUUGUGGAUAUUCUGGAACCUAUGCUUCCUUUAAACAGGUGUUGGAUUCUGAUGGCUUUUUAGAAUCUCACACCAGGGACAACAUAAAGUAUGUGUACAAUUUUCUGUCAACCUUAAUUUUUAAUUCCCUCUACCAGUUUUAUGCCUAUGGCAUUCAGACUGGAGACAAAAAAUACCUGGCAAGUAUUCAAGAACAAAAUAUUCCCUCUCUGCUUCUGUCAGAUGAUGAGACUGUGGAGGGUUUAACAGAGGACAUAUUUUAUUUGUUGGCUACCCAGCCUCCCUUGCCCAGUCAGAGCACCAUUACAGAGAUAAUCAAUUGGUACUCUGCUAUAAAACAGGUUUAUUUAGAUAGGCUCCAAGUGGCCACCGACCACUUUGGGGAAGAAUUUCUAUUGCAGCCGUUCAGCACAUAUACUACUAAUAUUCAUAUAAGGGAUGAUGUGGAAUUUACAUCUACAGAGACAGUCAUAACUGGGUUAUUGGAUUAUGCCUCCACCGUGGAGUCUUACCAACUCAAAGGGUACACCUUCGUGUCAGUUAGUUUUGGCAAACAGUUCUCACAGAGAAGUGAUUAUAUGUCAAAGACUAUGCCAAUGAUCAUUGUACAAGAUUCCAUGGGAUUCAUAUCAUGUUUGAACACCAACUUUAACAAAAUAACAGAAAUACUGGAAGAUGGCUCAUCAAUGGUGCUGGGCUGCACAGGAGAUUAUGGAAUAAGUUCAAAAUUGGCUAUGACGAUUGUCAAGGCUCAGGGCAUGUCUCUGAGUAAGGUUGCUGUAGCCUUUGGAAAAUAUAAGACCCUCCAGCAUAGCCAUGCUUAUGUGGCCAUCUCCCGCGCCACUAACCCCAAAUACCUGGUGAUUGAUAGAAACCCCAUGAGGAGCAGUGAACUAACAAUGGAUACAAAAUCUGCUGGAUACAUAACCAAAGCAUUACACAACCCAAAAACAUUACUUGUAUAUUAAUUUUUAUUGAAUAAAGUUUCAAUCCAA
rnacentral:tmRNA from 1 species